rnacentral:rRNA from 1 species
GUACACUCCUGCGGGAGGCAGCAGUGGGGAAUUUUGGACAAUGGGGGCAACCCUGAUCCAGCAAUGCCGCGUGAGUGAAGAAGGCCUUCGGGUUGUAAAGCUCUUUUGUCAGGGAAGAAACGGUGGUGGCGAAUAACUACUACUAAUGACGGUACCUGAAGAAUAAGCACCGGCUAACUACGUGCCAGCAGCCGCGGUAAUACGUAGGGUGCAAGCGUUAAUCGGAAUUACUGGGCGUAAAGCGUGCGCAGGCGGUUGUGUAAGUCAGAUGUGAAAUCCCCGGGCUCAACCUGGGAAUUGCAUUUGAGACUGCACGGCUAGAGUGUGUCAGAGGGGGGUAGAAUUCCACGUGUAGCAGUGAAAUGCGUAGAUAUGUGGAGGAAUACCGAUGGCGAAGGCAGCCCCCUGGGAUAACACUGACGCUCAUGCACGAAAGCGUGGGGAGCAAACAGGAUUAGAAACCCGGGUAGUCCCAUG